rnacentral:rRNA from 1 species
GACGAACGCUGGCGGCGUGCUUAACACAUGCAAGUCGAACGGAAAGGCCCUGCUCUUGCGGGGUGCUCGUGUGCCGAACGGGUGAGUAAAACGUGAGUAACCUGCCCCUGUCUUUGGGAUAACAUUAGGAAACUGGGGCUAAUAUCGGAUAGGAGAUCCUGCUCCAUGGUGGUGGAUGGAAAGAUUCGGCGGUUGGGGAUGGACUCGCGGGUUAUCAGCUGGUUGGUGUGGUAGGGGCGUACCAAGGCUUUGACGGGUAGCCCGCCUUGGAGGUGGACCGGCCACAUUGGGACUGAGGUACGGCCCAGACGCCAACGGGAGGCAGCAGUGGGGAAUAUUGCACAAUGAGCGGAAGCGUGAUGCAGAAACGCCGCGUGCGGGAUGACGGCCUUCGGGUUGUAAACCGCUUUGGCCUGUGACGAAGCGUGAGUGACGGUAAUGAGUAAGAAAGCAACGGCUAACUACGUG